GUGUCAGUCUGUGCAAUUAAGCGGGGGCUUAGAUUUAUUGAAGAUUUCCUCGGUAUGUCACUCACUGGGCCGUUUUUGCUGCCCAAAGCACCUCAAAUAACAAAUGGGAGUAUUUUUAUGUGGUUACAAACUUGGGUCUAUUUUGCUCAGAUUUCCUAGGUGGCCAUACAGUAUAGGCAGCUUCUGUUCAAAUUAACCAGAGGCACUUGUGGCUUUUCUGUGUCCAUCAGAAUGCAGCUGUUCAGUUUUGAGCUCAGCAGCUUUCAAAUGACAGCUGAGGGGCACAUUAAAUAAUAUUUAACAUUAGCGGCUCAAAUUAAUGUAAGACCUGGAACACACCGGUGAACUGUCAGGGAAGUUAAUUAAAGAUAAAUAUCUCCCUCUUGGAUCCAAUACUGAGACAUAUGCCUGGGCUUCACUAUAGUUUUGUUUCAGCGUAGCCUAUUAGCAUUGAAUGGCAUUUUAUUGUUUGCCAUCAGAAGAAGAAAGCUUGCUGUCUUGCAGACUCACUUUCCCCCCACUCUGACCUGGACAGCUUGGAACAUUCCUUAUGAAUUAAAAGAAUCUGAUCUGAGAAUCAGUAUGCAGCAGAUUCAGAUGUUUCUGAAUGAAUAUGAAGAAACCUCAUUUGAAGCUCUCAAAUAUCUUACAGGUAUGGACAUUAUGCCUACAUUCAGACAUAGUGAUGGUUUCGCAUCAUGAAAAUGCGUUUAGCAUGAUUUAGCUAAACCAUGAUUUAUCAUUAUGAACUUGAGCAUACUACAAAUAUUAUGAAAAUGAGCCCCCAAGGCUUGCACACUUCCCCUCGCCAUUCCUCAGUGUGGCCAUAGCAAAACAGCUGGAAAAGAGGAAGGGGAAGAGAGGAGCAUGCAAGGCACACUGCAGCUCAUGUGAUGCUCGCUGCCUUAUACAAAGUCAGUUGAUUGGUCCAUCUAAUUCAGUAUCGUCUGCUCUGACUGGCUGAUACCGUCCUUUGCCACAGGCAAGGAUUUCUCCCAGCCUUACCAGGAUAUGGCGGAGAUUGAAUCUGGAAUCCUCCCCAAAACAUGGUUUCCUAUUACAUCUGGGCCACAGUCAAAUAGCCGCCUCCACCCCCACCAUACCACCCUUCCAAGGUGCAUCCAGGACUAGCCCACAGCAUAUGGGGAUUUGUGACGGGAGUCCAAUUCUGACCAAACUCCAUCAUCCCUGUAAUGCCAGGCCAGCUAACAUAUAGCUGCUUAUUAAAGUUGUCCCACCUGUAGGUUCCAAUUCCCUCCUGAGCCUGCAGUAUGUGGGCUCCGGUCGCCUUGUGAGCAGAGUCUUACUGGUCUCCUGUUUUAAACAGAAGGUAUCUCUGUACGUUCCAUAAACACCUUACCAUUUUCAUCCUAAUGCGUUGUUUCAAUCCCUAGGCGAAUGUAACUAUGGCAGGAGAGCAACGGAGAACAAGGACAGGUGUCUCCAGCUCUCUCUUAUUUCCAUAGUGUAUUACAGAAAUUCAGAAGUCCUGGAAAACUAUCAGCUUUCCCCACAGGGGGCAUAUUUUGUACCAUCCUUCAGUACAUCCUUCGGGACCAUAAGACACACCUUGUUUUUAGAGGAGGAAAAGAAAAAAAAUAUUCUGAACGAAACAGUGGAUGUAUAAUUUUUGUGGUUCAUGCUGUGGCCACAGACAUGUGAUUUGACAGUGAGUUUGGGGUAGCCCAAUGCAAAAAUCCUGAGGAUCCAUGUGGAGCCGUGCUUUGUAACCAUGUUUUUGCGCCACUGUGGCCCCAGGCAACAGUGGGUGCGUGAUUUUUUUGGUGCAGGCUGUAGCCAUGGACAUGCUAUGUGAUCUGAUGGUGAAUUUGGGGCGACCCAAUGCAAAAAUCCUGAGGAUCCAUGUGGACUUGUGCUUUGUAACCACAUUUUAAGUGGGGAGGGAAGGAAAAGCACUCAAGGGACAAGGAGCACGUGUUGAGUGUGUGGAGAAGGAGGCUGCUAAUAAUGCGGGAGAAGGGUUUAAGUACUGAAGGGACAAGGAGCACACAUGGGGUGUGUGGAGAAGGAGCUUUUCAGCGAACUGAGCGGGGAGGAGGGAGGGAAAGAGAGCACGGUACCUUUAAAGCAGCCAACCAGACAGGAGCCGCUUACACCCAUGUAAGCGGCUCCUCUCCCGCUUUGCUGCGUCAAAGUGAGCCACGGAGGAGGGAAGGAAGGGGAACCGUGGAUCCUCUGCUCGCAACUGCAGCAGGAUCCCCCUGCCAUCCAUAGGCAUUCGCUCCAUGAGACACACAGACAUUUCUCUUUUUAGGAGGAAAAAAGUAUGUCUUAUGGAGCGAAAAAUACGGUAGGUGCCAAAAAAGGUGCUUACUUAAAAUGUUUUCUCUCUAAAGAGCCAGUGUGGUGUAGUGGUUAAGAGCAGUAGUCUUGUAAUCUGGGGAACCAGGUUUGCGUCUCCGCUCCUCCACAUGCAGCUGCUGGGUGACCUUGGGCCAGUCACACUUCUCUGAAGUCUCUCAGCCCCACUCACCUCACAGAAAGGAGAAUGUGAGCCGCUUUGAGACUCCUUCGGGUAGUGAUAAAGCGGGAUAUCAAAUCCAAACUACUACUACUACUACUUCUUCUUCUUCUUCUUCUUCAAAAAGAGUACAGUGAAGCUGCCUGCAAGAUAUCAAACGGCAAGGAGUUCCAAAGUGUAGGGACCACCGCAUCAGUUUCUUACAGAUGCAGAAUGGGUAUUAUGUGCCUGAAUCCCACCCAAGACUAGCGAUGGUCUGAAGGUACUCUUUGCUUUGCUCUCAAUUUGCCAUACUCACAGCAACCCGUUUGCUCUCAGGGUGACUCAGGAGGGAAGCAAAAGGCACCACGGCCAGAUCUCUCGCCAAACUCCUUUGCCUUGGCAUUUCAUUCAACUUCGCUUCUGGCUUUCCCCAGUUCCGACCAUGGCAACUGCAUUGUAGGAUGUUGAACUAGAUGCCCCUCUAGCCCCUUCUAGCUCUAUGGUUCUUUGAUUCUGUGACUUCAUAAUCCGUCCAUUCCUGUGCAAAGACUUCCUUGCCCUAAGCCUUCCACUCUCUGCCCCAGAUGUUCAUCUCCUUGUGGUUUUAGGCCCCAUCUGCACCAUACAUUUAAAGCAAUGUCACACCUAUUUACACUCUAAAAUCCUGGGAACUGGAGUUUUUUAAGGGUGCUGAGAGGCUAGUUCUUCUUCCUACGGGACUCUGGGCAAGGCAGUUGGGAGGCCUUGCACAACAAACCCACUCCCCCCAAAAGUGUAAGAGAUGAGAAAGUGCACUGGAACGUGUGGGAUAAUGCUGGCUUGAUGCAACAUCGCUCACAUGCACAGCAUACAUUUAAAGCACAUGGCCUCCUCCAAAGAACCUAGAGAACUGUAGUUUACCCCUCACAGCGCUACAAUUCCCAGGACCCUAAACAAACUACAGAUUUGUCUGUGAGAUUGUCUUACCCCAUACAUGCCCUCUCAGACUGCUUUGAUCUGUGGAGGGGGCACACAAUACCCGUACUGCAACUGUAAGAAACUGAUCUUUUAAUGUGGUGGCCCCUACACUUUGGAACUCCCUGCCAAUUGAUAUCUUGCAGGCAGCUUCACUGUACUCUUUUUGGCGCCCACUUAAAGCAUUUUUGUUUAGACAAGCCUCCUUCUCUGUCUGAAAUACUGACGUGUUUAUGUUUCCUGCUGGUUUUAAUUUACUGAAUGUUUUCAUUGUUUUUACUAAUGAUUUUAUUGUUGCAUUCUUUGUAUAAACCCCUUUGAGGGAUUCUGUGUUUUUUUAAGAAUCAAACAGCAUAUAAACUUGCAUGAAAUGCAUACAUGCAUACAUCAAUGUAUGGUGUAGAUGCAACUGCCGUCUAACCUCCCUGGAAACAAAUCAGAAUGAAUGUGCAGUAAAACAAGUUGCUCAAGCCUUAAGGUUUUGUUUUGUUUUCAUUUUUGAAGGGGCGAUGGUUGUAGCCCAGGACUUCAGGCUUCUUUGUUUUUUUGGGUGUUGGCUGUAGCCGCACUUUUUCAUUAGACAGCGCAGGCAUGUGUCCCCAAUCAUUUAGUUGAUGCGCUGGCAAAGCGCAACUAUGCCCUUCUUGAUCUGGGGCAAAUCAGAAGUGAUCUCCAUGGAGACCACAUAAUUGUUGCAUUGGCAAGUGGUACCUCUCCCAGCACUGGUUUCAUAGACGGUACACACGUACAGGUGAAACUCGAAAAAUUAGAAUAUUGUGGAAAAGUUCAUUUAUUUCAGUAAUUCAACUUAAGAGGUGAAACUAAUAUAUGAGAUAGACUCAUGACAUGCAAAGCGAGAUAUGUCAAGCCUUUAUUUGUUAUAAUUGUGAUGUUUAUGGUGUACAGCUGAUGAAAACCCCAAAUUAACAAUCUCAGAAAAUUAGAAUAUUAAAUGAAAUCAGCAAAACAAGGACUGCAAAUAGAGCAAUAUUGCACCUCUGAGAAGUAGAAGCAUGCAUAUGUACUCAGUACUUGGUUUGGGCCCCUUUUGCAUCAAUUACUGCUCUCCCUGUGCAAAGGUCAGAGGGGGCAGGGUUUCUGUUGAGGCAGGUGAUUAGCUGUGGGAGGAGCUUAUCAGAGCUUGCAGGGCAGUUUGAUCCAUCUUUUAGAUUUAGGGGAGCUAGUCUCAAACGUUUGUUGGGGGAGACCUAGGUUUUUUUGUGGGGGGGAGUUAUUUGUCCUGUCUUCACGCUUUUUAUGAUGGAGGACCGCUGUAGCCACCCCCAACGACACGUUCUCAAGAUGGAGGGGGAGGGAACAGCUGCAGUCGCCUGCGGUUCCUGCGCAAUGUUUGCCAUCUUGCCAAAGGUUGCAGGCAGCUUUACCUGCAGCAAUUGCAUGUUGAUUGACUCUUAAAAGACAAAGUCCAGCAACUGGAGGAACGUGUAGCUACGCUCCAAAGAAUUAGAGAGCUGGAGCUCUUCUUGGAAGCAACAGAGCACACCGUCUCCACCAAGGAGGAGACAGGGGACUCCCUGAGAAGGAGGCUAGUUCACCAACACAGGAGCCAGAUAUAUGGAGAAACGUGACUCAAAGAAGUAGGAGGCCCAGGGUUCGCUCUGAUUGUUUAGAAAUACACAAUCGCUUUGAGGUCCUCUCCCCUAGCAUGGAAGACGAAGAGCAGACUCCAUUUGAGGAUCUCUCCCUCAUUACAGUCGAUCAGGUAUAUGAAGACGAGCAGCAAAGUCAGUCCUCAGGGAAUGUGCAGGAACCUUGGAACGGACAGCUCACGGAAGAACCCCGACCAAACCUAAGAGGAGGCGUGUAGUGGUGAUAGGGGAUUCCCUACUGAGGGGAACAGAAGCAGUGAUCUGUGGGCCUGACAAGAUGUCUAGGGAAGUGUGCUGUCUCCCUGGGCUAAGAUCCAAGAUGUAACUGAACGACUGCAAGGAAUCAUAAAACCCACUGACAAAUACCCCUUCCUCUUGGUUCAUGUGGGAACCAAUGACACUGCAAGCAAUAGCCUCCAGAAGAUCAAAAGAGACUACGAGGCUCUGGGCAGGAAAUUGAAGCAAUUAAAUGCACAAAUUGUCAUCUCAUCUGUCCUCCCAGUUGAACAACGUGGCCCAGGGAGAGAGGGAAAAAUAGUGGAAGUGAACAGCUGGCUUCGCAAAUGGUGUAAACAGGAACGGUUUGGAUUCUUAGAUCACAGACUGCAGUUUCUUGAAGAUGGACUUCUGGCAAGCGAUGGGCUGCACCUCACAACGGUUGGGAGAAAUGUUUUUGCCAAAAAUCUCAGAAACCUCAUCAGGAGGGCUUUAAACUGACUAAUGUGGGGGAGGGAGACAGUGCUCCUGAAGGUAGGAGUCUAUCAAUUGAUGAAGAUGAUCAUCCAAAUGUCAUAGACCAAAUGGAGCAAACAGCACGCAGACCUAGUGGUGGGAGGAAAAAUCCUUAAAUAAGAAACACGGGGAAUGAUUAAUGGACUUCAAUGUCUGUACACUAAUGCGCAAAGCAUGGGAAAUAAACAAGAUGAGCUUGAGCUCUUGGUACAGCAAACUAAAUAUGACAUAAUAGGCAUCACUGAAACCUGGUGGGAUAAGUCCCAUAAUUGGAAUGUAAUAUUUUGGGGAUACAAUCUAUUUCAGAGAAACAGACCAGACAAGAAAGGAGGAGGAGUGGCGUUAUAUGUCAGGGAUGUGUAUACCUGUGAAGAGAUCCAAGAUUUAGAACCUCAAAGCCAAAGUGAGAGCAUUUGGGUCAAAAUUAAGGGAGAGAAGAAUAACAGUGACCUCAUUGUGGGAGUUUACUAUAGAUCCCCAAGCCAAACGGAGGACAUAGAUGAUGCCUUCCUGGAACAGAUGGCCAAGCAUGCAAAAAGAAGGAGAUAGUAGUAAUGGCGGACUUCAAUUACCCGGAUAUUUGUUGGAUGUCAAACUCAGCCAAGAGCAUAAGGUCAAACAGAUUCCUCACUGGCCUUGCAGACAACUUCAUUGUCCAGAAAGUGGGAGAAGCAACAAGAGAAACAGCCAUUUCAGAUCUGGUCCUAACCAAUGUUGAUGACCUGGUUAGUGGGGUAGAAGUGGAAGGAUCAUUAGGCGCGAGUGAUCAUGCUCUUCUGAAGUUUACUAUACAGCGGAAAGGAGCAGCCAAGCAUACUAGGACUCAAUUUCUUGACUUUAAGAAAGCUGACUUCAUAAAACUUAGGGAAGUGCUGGGUGAGAUCCCAUGGACAGUAAUACUAAAAGGAAAGGGAGUUCAUGAUGGCUGGGAGUUUGUUAAGAGGAAGAUAGUAAAAGCACAACAUCAGGCAAUACCAAUGAGACGGAAACAUGGAAGGUGCCUAAAGAAGCCAGGGUGGCUAUCUAAAGAACUUUUAACUGAGUUAAGAUUUAAAAAGGAUGUGUACAAAAAAUGGAAAAGGGGGGAAACCACCAAAGAGGAAUUCAAACAAAUAGCCAGCACGUGUAGACACAAAGUCAGAAAAGCUAAAGCACAGAAUGAACUCAGGCUUGCUAGAGAGGUUAAAAGCAACAAAAAGGGCUUUUAUGGGUAUGUUUGUAGCAAAAGGAAGAACAAAGAAACAGUGGGGUCACUCAGAGGAGAAGAUGGUGAAAUGCAAACAGGGGACACAGAAAGGGCUGAACUCCUCAAUGCCUUCUUUGCCUCAGUCUUCUCCGAUAAAGAAAACAAUGCCCGACCUGAAGAAUUUGGAGCAAAUGAUUCAGCAAAGGAAACACAGCCCAGAAUAACUAAGGAGAUAGUACAAGAAUACUUGGCUAGUUUAGAUGUAUUCAAGUCUCCAGGGCCAGAUGAACUGCAUCCAAGAGUAUUAAAAGAACUGGCAGAUGUGAUCUCAGAACCACUGGCAGUCAUCUUUGAGAAUUCCUGGAGAACAGGCGAAGUCCCGGCAGACUGGAGGAGGGCAAAUGUUGUCCCAAUUUUCAAAAAGGGGGAAAGAGAGGACCCAAAUAAUUACCGCCCAGUCAGUCUGACAUCAAUACCAGGGAAGAUUCUGGAGCAGAUCAUUAAGCAAACAGUCUGUGAGCACCUGGAAAGGAAUGCUGUGAUCACCAAUAGUCAGCAUGGAUUUCUGAAAAAUAAGUCAUGUCACACUAACCUGAUCUCGUUUUUUGACAGAAUUACAAGCCUGGUAGAUGAAGGGAAGGCAGUGGAUGUAGCCUACCUUGAUUUCAGCAAGGCAUUUGACAAGGUGCCCCAUGAUAUUCUUGUAAAGAAGCUGGUAAAAUGCGGUCUUGACUAUCCUACCACUCAGUGGAUUUGUAACUGGCUGACUGACCGAACCCAAAGGGUGCUCAUCAAUGGUUCCUCUUCAUCCUGGAGAAGAGUGACUAGUGGGGUGCCACAGGGUUCUGUCUUGGGCCCGGUCUUAUUCAACAUCUUUAUCAACGACUUGGAUGAUGGACUCAAGGGCAUCCUGAUCAAAUUUGCAGAUGACACCAAACUGGGAGAGGUGGCUAACACCCCAGAGGACAGGAUCACACUUCAAAAUGACCUUGACAGAUUAGAGAACUGGGCCAAAACAAACAAGAUGAAUUUUAACAGGGAGAAAUGUAAAGUAUUGCACUUGGGCAAAAAAAUGAGAGGCACAAAUACAAGAUGGGUGACACCUGGCUUGAGAGCAGUACAUGUGAAAAGGAUCUAGGAGUCUUGGUUGACCACAAACUUGACAUGAGCCAACAGUGUGAUGCGGCAGCUAAAAAGCCAAUGCAAUUCUGGGCUGCAUCAAUAGGAGUAUAGCAUCUAGAUCAAGGGAAGUAAUAGUGCCACUGUAUUCUGCUCUGGUCAGACCUCACCUGGAGUACUGUGUCCAGUUCUGGGCACCACAGUUCAAGAAGGACACUGACAAACUGGAACGUGUCCAGAGGAGGGCAACCAAAAUGGUCAAAGGCCUGGAAACGAUGCCUUAUGAGGAACGGCUAAGGAGCUGGGCAUGUUUAGCCUGGAGAAGAGGAGGUUAAGGGGUGAUAUGAUAGCCAUGUUCAAAUAUAUAAAAGGAUGUCACAUAGAGGAGGGAGAAAGGUUGUUUUCUGCUGCUCCAGAGAAGCGGACACGGAGCAAUGGAUCCAAACUACAAGAAAGAAGAUUCCACCUCAACAUUAGGAAGAACUUCCUGACAGUAAGAGCUGUUCAACAGUGGAAUUUGCUGCCAAGGAGUGUGGUGGAGUCUCCUUCUUUGGAGGUCUUUAAGCACAGGCUUGACAACCAUAUGUCAGGAGUGCUCUGAUGGUGUUUCCUGCUUGGCAGGGGGUUGGACUCGAUGGCCCUUGUGGUCUCUUCCAGCUCUAUGAUUCUAUGAUCUAUGAUCUAUGAUUCUAUACUGCCUCAAUGCGGCAUGGCAUGGAUGCUAUCAGCCUUUGGCACUGCUGAGGUGUUAUGGAAGACCAGGAAGCUUCAAUAGCAGCCUUCAGCUCUUCUGCAUUGCUCAGUCUCAUGUCUCUCAUCUUUCUCUUGGCAAUGCCCCAUAGAUUCUCUAUGGGGUUCAGGUCAGGCGGGUAUGCUGGCCAAUCAAGCACAGUAAUCCCAUGUCCAUUGAAUCAGGUUUUGGUACUUUUGGCAGUGUGGGCAGGUGACAAAGUCCUACUGGAAAAUGAAAUCAGCAUCCCCAUAAAGCUCAUCUGCUGUAGGAAGCAUGAAGUGCUCCAAAAUCUCCUGGUAGAUGGCUACAUUGACCCUGGACUUAAUGAAGCACAGUGGACCAACACCAGCUGAUGACACGGCUCCCCAAAUCUCUUUUCUGAUGAGAGCAGCUUUUGCAUCUCAUUUGGAAACCAAGGACCCAGAGUCUGGAGGAAGAAUGGGGAGGCACACAAUGCCAGAUGCUUGAAGUCCAAUGUGAAGUUUCCACAGUCUGUGUUGAUUUGGGGAGCCAUGCCAUCAGCUGGGAGAUCAGAGUUCGACUCCUCGGUCGGCCAUGAAGGUCACUGGUUCCUUGGGUCAGUCACACUCUCUCAGCCUGACCUACCACGCAAGAUGGUUGUGGGGAUAAAACAGGGAGGAGGCAAACUUAAGUACACCACCUUGAGCUCCUUGAGGGCUAUAAAUGUGAUAAAUAAAUAAAUAUCCUUUACGUCCAAUAUUACAUAGAAAGCGAAGCAUUCUUUAUGUGAAAUAGCCUUUGUGUGAGGGGCAUUGGCAAUAAUAUUUCCAGUUUGCAUAGCAGCCAACUCCUAGGGGCCGAGGUCCCUUUGCCCCCGCCCCUUACAAAAUAUUUGAGGGAGCCAAGGUCCCCCAUAGGUGAUGGGCAUUGCCAUUCAAAUGCUGUGCAUGUGCUGCAUCUUGUGGUCGGUUAUGCAGGGUGGGGCUUACCUGAGCCCUCCCAAUAUUUAUUCAAGUUGCCACCCCUGCCAGUUGGGAUGCUAAAACUGCCACAUCCUAAGCAUAAUUGUUCAGAAGAAAACCCCUUUGAGUUUGAAGGAAGCUGUUCCCAAGCAGGUAUGCACAGAACUGCAGUAUCAAUAACCUUCCAUAUUUCUGAGGUGGAUGGAGAAUUUCAGCAUGAUGGGGUGUACUCACAGUAGCUCUAAGGAGAUUGUUGUAUUGGGCAAGCAAAAACGCUUCCACUUCAUCUCCUCAUCAACACAAAUGAAAUGUUUAAAUGUUUUGGGGUUGCCCUUGAAUCUUCCCACCAGGCUCGCUAUCCUCUCCUGCCACACCCUUUGAGAACCACCGAAUUAAGGAGUCCCUGGAAUUUGAAUCCAUUGGAGGCAUUCUGCUUUUGUUGAUGUCUACUCUGAUGGUGGUGUGUUUCGUGUUCUUUUCACUUUCAGACAAUCCUUGCAAACGUGUGGAUAAUUACAGCAACUGAGCUGAUGUAGCGAAGUAAGGCAGAUGCAAGAAGAAAGCUUUGAGGCAGAUUGUCCUGCUUCUUGCCUGCAUACCACUGAAAUAAAAUAGGGGCAUUCGUCCUCUCUGUUGAAUUCUGCAUUCUCAUUCAAAUCAGGCCAUCCGUCAGGACCUUCUGGAUGACCCCUUCCAAAUGAAACUUGUUUUACCCACCCGGGAAGAAUGGCAGAUGAAGUUGAUGGACUAUAUGGAACUGGCGGAAAUGACUGGCAGAAUCCAAGACCAGGGAGAAGAGUCGGUGGAAGAAGACUGGAAAAAGUUUAAAGACUAUUUACAGAAAUAUUGUAAAAUUAAUGAAUGUUAGAAAAAUGUUGGAAUGAAGUUAUAUGGCUUUAGUAGAAAUGUUAUAAGGAAUUAAGUACAAAUAGAUUAAUAGAGUAUUAAAGGGAAGAAUAAGGUUAGAAUCUGUUAAGAUAAUUAAAGGAUAGAAAGCAGAGGAAGAUGGAAAGGAAUUGCUGAAACAAUCAACAGAAGUGGAAUACAAAAAGGGAGGUGUGAG